rnacentral:rRNA from 1 species
ACGCUCGACACCUACGGCAGGCAGCAGUGGGGAAUAUUGCACAAUGGGGGAAACCCUGAUGCAGCGACGCCGCGUGAGCGAAGAAGUAUUUCGGUAUGUAAAGCUCUAUCAGCAGGGAAGAAACUGACGGUACCUGACUAAGAAGCACCGGCUAAAUACGUGCCAGCAGCCACGGUAACUGAGCGGGCUGGCAAGGC